UACACAUUAAUUGUUUCUAUUAUCAACUAUGACUAAAAUUAUUUGUACAAUAAUUAAAAUGAAAAUUUAAAUACGGAUUUAUAAAUGUAGGAAGUGGCAUAUGUACAAUAAAAGUGUUAGUAUGUCUAUUUGAGUUUAGAUAAGCUCACCCUGAAAUCAAAGUUACAAUCAUAUAAAACACAUCACGACACACUCUAUAAUAUGUUAAAGAUGAUAAAAUGAGAUUAAAAAAUCAGAAAGGAUAUAAAAAAAACUGGAAAAAAUACAAAAAAUGAAA
rnacentral:lncRNA from 1 species